rnacentral:lncRNA from 10 species
GCGGCUGAGCCUGGCCCGCAACGUGCUCAUCGCACUCGCCUUCCUGAGCAGCAGCGUGAACCCCGUGCUGUACGCGUGCGCCGGCGGCGGCCUGCUGCGCUCGGCGGGCGUGGGCUUCGUCGCCAAGCUGCUGGAGGGCACGGGCUCCGAGGCGUCCAGCACGCGCCGCAAGCUCAGGAAGGUGAGGAGGUACCAGACUGCUGCAGCAGGGGAAGUCUCUCACCCACUCGCAGGCGGAAGUUGUUGAAUGAAUGCUUGUUGAUGACGUCCAGCUUAGACCCCAGGGCCACGGCAAAUUCCACCAUAGUGCCAAGGUGGCUGCAGCUCCGUUCAGCAUCCUGGCAAUGGGCCCGCCCACCAGGGUGGGCCAGUGAGGGCACAGGAAUAAGUCCCACUAAUAAGCCCAUCAAUGAGAGCCCAGAGGAGGGGGAACAGGAGACUGGAGUGAGGGGUGUGUGUCAUGUUCCUCUCCCUUCUAGAGGUCUGCGUGGGGCCCUCCUCCCCAUGUCCACACUCCUGGUCUCCCUGUUUAAGAAGAAUUGGGAAGGAGGGAGAGGAGUAGGGCCAGGCUACCCCAGGGAAGUGACUUAGGAGUCAAAGCUUAGAUCUCAUUGUAAUUCUAGAAGAUUAUUGCUGAAAGGUGUUUAAGUCAAUUAAGCCGGCUACAAAACCAAGGGUAAAAUGUGUUUAAGUGUUUAAGUCAGUUAAGAUAGGUACAAAAUGAAAGAUGAAUGUGUCUGUAAGAGAAGAAACCAGAAAAGAACUACUGAUCUUGAGAGCAGGGAGCAGGCGGUGGGGGCAAGUUCACAAUAAGGUUCAAGUUCCUAUGAGAAUCUGAUGCUGCUACUGAUCUGACAAGAGGCAGAGCUCAGGCGGUAGUGCUGGCUCACCGCUCACCUCCUGCUGUGUAGCCCAGUUCCCAACAGGUCAUGGACUAGUAUCAGUCUGCGGCCUGGGGGCUGGGGACCCCUGCUCCAGACAGCUCCCAUCAACGCCUAGGCUUCUGGAAUGUAUGGAAUGGUCAUGAGUUAGAGAAGACAUGCCUUC